AGCAUCUAAGAGGGAAGCCAGCUUCAAGAUUAGGAAUCGUUAAGAACCGUGAGAGAUGAUCACGUUGAUAGGCUUUAAGUGUAAGCGCAGUAAUGCGUUAAGCUGAGAAGUACUAAUGUUUCGAUUCCUGUUAAGAA
rfam:Parcubacteria (Nomurabacteria) bacterium GW2011_GWB1_40_7 TT13_C0022, whole genome shotgun sequence.